rnacentral:rRNA from 1 species
CCUACGGGAGGCAGCAGUGGGGAAUAUUGGGCAAUGGGCGCAAGCCUGACCCAGCAACGCCGCGUGAAGGAAGAAGGCUCUCGGGUUGUAAACUUCUUUUGUCAGGGACGAAGCAAGUGACGGUACCUGACGAAUAAGCAACGGCUAACUACGUGCCAGCAGCCGCGGUAAUACGUAGGUGGCAAGCGUUAUCCGGAUUUAUUGGGUGUAAAGGGCGUGUAGGCGGGAAUGCAAGUCAGAUAUGAAAACUAUGGUCUCAACCCAUAGCCUGCAUUUGAAACUGUAUUUCUUGAGUGCUGGAGAGGCAAUCGGAAUGCCGUGUGUAGCGGUGAAAUGCGUAGAUAUCCGGAGGAACACCAGUGGAGAAGGCGGAUUGCUGGACAGUAACUGACGCUGAGGCGCGAAAGCGUGGGGAGCAAACAGGAUUAGAUACCCUUGUAGUC